AUAAAUUCAGAUAAUAAAUAUUUAACAUGCAAAAUCCAAACUCAUCCAAAAUCUGAUUAUAUAUUAUCCAAAUCCAUCCUAAUAGAAUUUAAUCGAAUGGAUCGAAUACCUACAAAACCACAAUCCAAUACCAUCUUUACUACUAUGGCUUUCGGUGUCUUUGGCUGCAAAACACAUUUUGAGAUGCCUGUACUUCUAACCUGUUUCCAACUCACUGUACCCAGCAAUCAAUCCACUUUCUAUCUAUCAAUCCGUUUUAUUCAAUGGAUUUUCACUUGAUGUUUGAUUUUAGACCUGCAAAUUGAUAAUCUUAACAAGAGAGCAGGCAUUUCAACAAUUUCUCCUUUUUCUUGCCUUGAAAUAAUUUUUAAAUUUGUUCGUGGAAUUGAAAGUAUUGUAUUUACAUCCAGAAAUCUCCAAGGCUGUUCAUCCAUUGUAUCUGUCAUCAGGAGAAAAUCAAAUCUGAUUGCAUAAGCUCUCCAUGCCAAUCAUUUUAUAAACAACUUCAACUUCACUUGGGCAAAGAAUGGUCGUGAAGAAACCUUAUGUACAAACAAUUAACAGGUGAGAUUGAUACUGAACCCCAGUGAAUCACCUAUCAAGCUUCUGAGAUAGGUCUGCAAGUGCACGAUAAAGAAUUGCUGCAGCAGGUGGCCUUGGUAAUGAGCCAAGAAGUAUAUCAGAUGCAGUUAUUGACUGGCUCCCAUAGAAUCUGGAAUUCUCUUUCGACCGAGUGGUGACAACACUCCCUUCAAGUGAACAUCCAACAAAUGCUCCUUUACUGCAGCUGUACGUAUAACAAGCAGCAUACCCACCAUCACCAGCCCUCAAAUCAGCUUCAACUGCCCGUCCAAUGACACCAACUGCUGCACUCAAACCAGCACCCAUUGAAACAUGUGCAUUGCCGCAAAAAGUCUUGACAGCAUCAUUUGUUCUCAACACAAUUAUGAAAUCUGUCAAUUCGCCUCCAGCCUGUGCUCCCCAACCCAUGCCAAAUGAAGAUACAGCAGAGGGCGGAGACCAUGAGCCAUCUUCUCUUCGAGCGACUACAAGCCCAGUUCCAACAUUAUAUGUAACCAUCACUCCAACUUUCACAACUGUGAUUAUUGCAAGGCCUUUUGCAUGUCGUAGAAUGGCAUCUGGAAUUGAUUUCUCAGGUUUUAGACAAACUGCCUUGUUAUAACCCUGAAUUGUAUUUGCUGCCUUAUAAAUCUCAUAUUCCAUGGAUUGUCCCCAUGGAAAAUUAACCCAGGAUCUCAAAGUACUAAGGUCUGUCAAGUCAUGGGUAGGCAACUGGGCAGCAUGGCUUACUUGGUCCAUCAGGUAUGGCUGGACAGUCUGAAGCCGCACACAACAUACAUCACAGACACGCUGAGGAUCUGCAAUACGAAACUUCACUGGCAACAAACUCCUACCUUUAGAGCACUCGCCACAAAAUAUUCCUCCACAAAACCUGCAAUGAUGCCUGGAGCACAUGAUUGGAUGAAACCGCACACCACACAGCAUGCAAGCAGAGGCAGUACUAUCAGCCAACCAUCUUGGAGGCUCUGCUUCAAGAAUCUCCCUCGCAUUCCCAAAAUUGGCUUCCGUGAGAGUUUGAGCCAUCUCUUGCCAAGCUUGCUCUAAUAGAUGGCUUGAUAUCCAUGAAAAAUUGCAACUACGAAUAUCACCUGAAGCAAUAGCGCUCACUUUUCCACGAGCUGCAAGUAACAUUUCCACUAUCACAUCCCACAUGGUUAAAUCCUUCUCUUCUCCAAGGUACUGGUUCCAUCCCAUGUCACCAUCAGGAAAAUAACCACCAUUUGAAUGAAAACCUCUGCUCCACUCUUCAUGAUCAUUUCCCAACAUGGGUGGAACAGAAACAGGUAUCCAAACCCCAGUUUCUUCAGAAAGGGGUGAAUCAUAAAAGAAGUACUUCCCUACCUUUUGCUCACUGGUUUUUGUUUCGUUCUUCUCAUUAUUCCUGGGAUCAUUUUCUCCAGAGGUAAGAAUUCUAUGGGUCCCUAAUCCAGUGGUGGCUGCAGAAUUAUAGAAAUCUGUAGAACUUUCAAGUCCCCCAUUAUCCUGCGGGAGAGAAUUGGAAACCCUAGUCUCCAAAUUCCCAAUUCCUUCAACUUCAAGAUGAGGUUCGAAAUUUAGAGAAUUACCCUCCAUAUCGUGCAAGGGAAGAAGCAAAAUUCGGCAUAUAACAAAAGAAAAAGGCAAUUAAAAAAAAAGGGAAAUUGUGAUGAGAAAUUUGACGAUAAGAAGGCAGAGACACAGAGAACAGGGAUUAAGGAAGGAUAGGGAAGAAGGCAGUAAUGAUUGAGUUGAUGAAGGGAACUAGGGUUGUAAAGGCGUCUUCUUUGGGCUAUUGGAGCUUUCGUGUUGAUUAUAUCUAUCUUUGUUUAACAGUUGAAUAACAAACAAAACUACUAUGAUU
rnacentral:misc_RNA from 1 species